CUGUCAGCUUUUUUUCAAAUGUUACCUCCACUCCCCCCAGUUUGAACAUUAAUCAAAGGAAGUUGCACCACACAGCCAAAGUUAAUUUCUAUGCUAGCUGAAAUCAGUUGGACAGUUCAGUUCUUGUAAUAACAUAGCUCCCGUCCCACUGGAGCUUCUUCCCCUGCUAAUGCAAAACAUAAUAAAUAUUUUGCAGAUAUUUAUUUCUGAUCAAUUUCCUCUAUUCCAGGAAUGUCAGCAUUGUGGAUUAGUGAAGACUUAUGAAAACAUAUGUUUGUUAGAAACAUACUCCUAUGAGGUGACCUACUUGGGUGGUAGCUGCCACAGGUGAGAAGCAUGGCCAUUAACUCAUGCAGAGGCUUGUGGUGCACAGUACUGAUCAGGCAUGGCCUAAAAUAACCCUGAACUGGACUGCUCAGAAAGGAGCUGUCACUUCAGUGCUUCAACAGGUCCUCCUGAGAGAGGGACUGGAGAUUCUGUACCAAACUGUGCUGUUGGAAAUCAAGGAAGCUUAAAGCAGAUGAAUCCAGCUGUUCGCAAGGCAAAUACAAAAAGAUCUACAGCUUUAUUGAGCCCCUGUUGUGUUGUGCUGACACUCCAAGUCACUGUUAGGGUGGAAACAGAAAGAAAAACCUUCAAGAAUUUGUAAAAUUCUGGUGGCGACAGACUCCUGCCGUUCUUAAGCAAGUACCCUAAGCCUCUGCUGGACUCAAAGGAAUGUCACUGGGCCAGGACUAAGCAGCAGGUGAGCUCCCUGACCCUUCCAGUCCCGUUUCACAGCCUUGGUGCAAGUGUUUCUUGCUCUUUGUGGAAAGCCAGCGUGAUUGUGUUCUCCCAAGGAAUUUUCUCUUGGGGACUUUCUGAUCAGACAGUGUUCAUGGAGGCUUGCUGCAACGUCUUUGCAACAAAAUGCUAUUAAAUCAACAGGAAAAACAUGGUCAAAGAAGCUAAAAAAAGAAAGAAGACCUGUAUACAUGAAUCUUGCCUACAUAUAGCAUCCUGGCAUAAUUUUUCAGAUUCUCUCUGUAUCGCUAACUUUCAUCUUGAUUAUAUCACUUGUCAGCUGACAAGGCCAGACCUUCUCUCCCAGAGCAUCACACUUACCUUGGGCUGAGCAGCAGUCCAGGUGGGGUCUUACCCAUCAUCACCUCAACUCUCCUGACAUCUGCAGUGUGAAGUGGGAUUUUUCUCCAUGUUCUCCUGCUCUCUUUACCAUCCUGAAGCAGUCUGAGCAAUGAAAUUUUUAAAAUGUUAUUUUCCUAGAUUUUGCCAGUACCUGAUGUUUCUGAGAACAGGAAUCCAUACUUAUCCUCAUCAACUGCAUAAAGAGUUUGGAAAUUGAGUGCAGUAUAUCAGGAAUGUGUCUGACUUGGAAACCUGAAUGCAGAUCCCAGUGUUCCUAGUUAUUCACAGCCAAGCUUCCAGUCUGUAACACAUCUCUAUUUUAAUAACUUCUCUUAUGCAUAUUCAACUGAAUUUCAAAAUUGGCGUAAACAUAGAUGGAUAAAUAUUUUAGGUUAACUUUACACCCCUGCUAACACUACCUUUUUGUUGUUGUUUUUGUUGUUGUGUUGUUUUGUUUUGUUCUCUGAGGGCUUGAAGCCUGUGAGAACUGAAAUACAGCUGGUGAUCAUUUAAUGAAGACAGGUCCACCUGGUAAGGUACCUUACCUCUACUUUGUGUGACUCACAUAAGUUCAUUCUAGUUGCAGUCAAUUCCUUUCAUCUUGCACAACUUCAACUGGUAUAGAACAAAACAGGGUAUUUCGUCGAAGGUCACCUUUAUCUGUGAAGCAUGUUGGAUGCAAACGAUGAUGUACAAGGUAUUGUUAUAUAUCCAUCACACAGCUUCUGGAGCAUCAACUUAUCAUCCAUCCUUCAGGAAGAGCUGAAAAGAAUAGUGUGGAGGAUUCACAGAAUAUGACAAUACACAAGGAAGACAAAGACUUCCCUAAAGUAGCAGAGAUAACUGGCAUCUGUGAGGUUAUUUUUCCAAGAAUUCAUCUUUUUGGCAUUUAUUUCUCACAGCGCUUAGUGAAAAUUGAAUUAACAUUAUUCUUGAAAAUUACCUCAUUUCAAAUUAUUGGCUUUUUUACUUACUUUAUUACCUAGAAGCACAUGCACAACAAUGAAUACAUCUUUUACAUUUAAUUACUUUCUAACAAUAAAGAUCAAAAGGACAUUUUAUAGAUAGCAUUUAAUUUCUAUCAAGAAGGAAAAAAUAAUGAAAGACCUUUAACUCCAGAAUUUAUUUUUUUCUGAGUUCCUUACUACUAUUUCUUCCCAGACUAAACCUAACUAUUGUAUUUUAGCCAGAUGUUGAGCACCAGAGAAAUACUUUUUGACUAUGUCAUAGGCUUUUAAAUUGUCAAGAGUGAAUUUAUUAUUUUUCUGGGGUUCAUUUCAACCAUCUACAAUUUUGCGAAUUUUUACCUAAGAAACACCCCUUUGUUUUGCCUCUUAGUAUAUUACUAUGCAAAGAGUUGCAGUCUGUGUUAGAAGUGGAUUAUGAGCAGAGCCUAUAAAUAGAUGAGUAAUGAAAACUGGGUGGAAGGAGGUUGUAACUACGGACCAUGUACUUUCAAAAGUGAAUGCAUGGAUGGAGGGAUUUGGUUUUUCUAAUCAAUAACAUGAGUUUCCUGGUAUUCCUCCUUUAGGUCAUUUAUUUUUUUACAGGCAUUUGGAAGAGCUGCAGAUUUUGGCUUCCAAUUUCUACAUAACCCAGAUUCCCAUAACCAAAUCAGUUGCACAAGGAUAAGACCCUGGUAAUCAGAAUGAAAAUCAAAUAAGUUGAUAAAACAAAGGGCUGAAGAAGAUACAGCUCAUCACAACUCAAGAGAGAAAACACUUCUGGUCAAGCCAUAACAUUUGAAAGUCCACCCAGUGCUAAUUUCAAGGAUUGUGAAUUGACAGGAGGCUGGGUGCAGCACUGGCAUGCCUAGAGACUUUGUGGAAUUGCCAUCACAUCUAGAUAGAGCCAUGGCUGAUCUGACCUGGUGUUGGACUCACCCUUGCUUUGAACUGGACGUUGGAACAGAUGAUCUCCAGAUGUCCCUUCCAGCCAACAUGACUGUGGUCAAGAAUUAUUUGGAAUCCAGUAGGUCGUUACAAGGAAAGAACAAAUACACAGCAAAUGAAUUUUAGUCUCUUUCUCCUCUAAAAUUCUCAGGCUUACUCUGAUACCUCCUCAGAAAGAUCUUGCCAGAAACUCAAGCUGAGAGCUAGCAAAGUAUUUCUCAGACAAAUCUAGCCCAUUGGAAACUUUGUGGACUACUCUAUCUACUUAAAUUCAAAACACAUAGCUUUUUCUUCCCUCCACCUGAAACCUGAAGUACACAUUGACACAUUUCCUGAAGCUGCUGGAUUCUUUUUGUGGGACACUUAACAUAUUUUGUAUCAAUCUUUCUCACAAAAAAAAAAAAAAAAAAAAUCACGUUUCCUUGCUUCAAACAGUACAUUAUCCCAUUAUCAAUAUUCAUCAGCAAAUACUACUGCAAAAAAUAUAUUAGCCUGUCACAUUGGUCAUGCCAGCUCUUCCUUUGUACCCUUUCACAGAUUUGUCUUUUGUUUCAAAUAUUUCUCUUUAUCUGAGAUAUAUGCCAUCUUGUGUUUUGUUUAUAAGCUCCUCUAGAUAGCACCCAUCUUGUUGGUCACUUGUUGGUUGCAGGUGUUGUGUGGUUGAUACAUCUGGUAUUUCUAUACACGGAAUAAUAAAAGGCUGAAGAAUGAAAAGGCUGAAUUUAUGACAUGAAUAUAUUCAUGAUUGUCAAGUGUUCAAGGCAUUUUCGUUUUGUAGGGAGCAACUUUGACAUUCAGAUUGGGAAAAGUCUUUUUCAUUAGAUCCUGACAAAGAAAUAAAGAAGAAUCAAAAUGCUUCUAAAGAAACCAUUAUAGGUAAUAAACUCAUAUGCAGGACAACUCAGAACUAGCUAACAAAUAUUUUUAUUUUGUAUGCAACAAAGAAAGCAGGUGUUGAGAUUUCUGUGCACGUAUGUGAGAAGCAGAGCAAUCACUUGAAAAUAAUUGUUUGACUAAAGUGCAAAUGAUGGAACGAAAGCUUUUUCAACAAGAACUUGGGGGACUGCGGGAAGGGCAAAAUGAGAUUACAGGCAGUUGAAACCACCUUUGCAAGCCUUUAGGAGCAGCACGUACAGUCAGAGCAAAGACCAGGUGGCCAAGAGCAGGAACCUGCCAUGGGGCGGUGGGUGUCCCUACAGGUCUUGGGGUGAGAGGGAACUUGGAAACAUUUCAGCUCAUAUCCUGGCUCCACUGAAGACAAUGGGAAUACUGUCACUGCUUCAGAUGAAGCACUCUAGUUCUGCUACACAAUGUAGAGCAAUUAAAUUUAAAUUUAAAAUAUCUGAAUAUCAGAUAUUCUAUUUGGAAAAGUGUUCCUAGUUUUAAAACUGGUGGGGAAGCUGAGCAAGAUAUGGAGAAACAAAACAAAAAGGUGAGACUCAGAGGAGUUGCUCUGAAGACUCGUUUGGGUUGAUGGUGUCAUUCUCAAGUGGAAGGAAUUUUUUAUUUGCAAAGACUCAAACUAAAACCUUUAGAAAACUACAGCAUUUAGAAAUCCCAUGUUUGUAUUUCGGAAGUUACAUCAAACCCAGUGGAUAGGCAGCUGUGCUGACUUUCAUCCAGAUUUAUGGGAGAAAAGCAAUGGGAUAAAAUUAUUCAUGGAGUUCCUUAGCAGAAUGUAUCUUCCUUGAGAAAACUCAGUAGACUAAGUUCAGUCCUAAUUACUCAUUUAUUCACUAAGGUAUAUUGAACCUAUAGUGGCAUACUGCAUUCUAACCUUUUUUUAAUAUAUAUAUGUAUUUUUUUACUGGUAGUUUGCUGUCUUUAUUUGUAACUUUCUGCUCUUUUCAUUUCCUUCUUUUGGUGAAGUAGUAGGAAAUCCAUUUGAAUUAUUCAAAGUCUUGUUUCCUUGGAAAUCUAAAGUAAUAAGAACAAACUGCCUAUUCUGCCUCUACUCCUAAUAACUUCGGAACUCUGUAGCCAAUUUCAAAUGAAUUUAAAAUUUACCGAGACUUUGUAGGAGUCUCAGUGAAAGAUCAUGCAGAUUUUAUGAGAACUAUACACCAAAAGUAUGAGAGAUGCUACUAGGAAGGUAUCCAUCAUGAUCUCAGCUACCACUAGAUAUUAAAGAUAUUCACAGGUCAAAGCAAUUGGAAGCCAAUGUGUUUAGCUCUGCCUGCCUAGUACUUCUCUGGGGAGGAAGAAGAAGAAUAUAGAAGUGUUGAAUGUGAUGUUUAGGGAAUGGAAGAGACAAGGAUCUCUCUAAUAGAAGCAGUUAUCAAGCCUGAAUUAUUUUGAAAUUUGAGGUAUAGACUAAAAUAUUUUCAUUUUUCAAGGUUCUGACCAACAGUAUUUUCAGCUGUCCACGUUUGUAUUUGCAUGGUGAUUACACUAAUGUGCUCUAGAACUCAUAGUGUGGUUCAAGAGUGAAAUAAAAAAGCAUUGUCUACUAUGGUGGUUCCCUUCUGCAGGUAGAAGUCAAUUUUGCAUUUUAUAUUGAAGCUAAUUGUAGCCCACAGGCUGUUUAAUCAACAGGCACAGCAAGCUUGAUGGGAAAGAAAAAAAAAAAAAAAGCAAUGCAGUCAUUGUGCUUCAUAGUAUGAAUAGCAUUUGAUGACACAUUGCAGAAACAGCCAGAAAUAACAUGAAAAAAGAUUUUUCACAGAACAGGUUGCAUCAUGAGCUCUAGCUACCAAGCUUAGGAAGCUACAGUUCAACCCUUAUUUAUAUGCCUACGUUCCCUGAAGAAAUCAUGUGGUUGUGCCCUUUCUGUUUAUCUGUUUGGAAGAUACCAAGACAGCUGGAGGCAAGAAGUAGGUCGAAGUAUCUUGGCACCUGCCACUCUCAGCAGCAACAUGAGUACAUGCUAGGGACAGACCUGUGAUGGGGAGCAAUUGUGCUUAAGUGGUGAAAUUCUGCUAGGAGGCAGGUUGCUCACCUGGUCACAGGGACCAGCCCUUCAGGCUGGAAAAUCUCAGCAUUUCCUCUGUCUGUCCUACUGCAUCUAAGCAGUAGACUCAGUUGUUUUUUCUUUUUAAAAAUUAAAUGCAUGUUAGUGUAUUUUUCUAUCUUUUAUUAAAGUCUGUGUGGAAGAUUGUGCACAGGUUUUUGUUGCUACUCUUUUUGUGUGCUUCAAAUAACAUAACACAUAAUGUUAAGAUUUUUUGAAGUUUUUUUUUUUCUUCAUUCACUGCCACAACUUUUGUACGAAAUGGCCAAAGAAUGACUGAGUAGAAGUCAGCCUAGAAAGUCACCACUAACAGACCUGUAGGUCAUACUUAGAUUUUGAUAUAAAGGGAAUAAAGUAAGAUCCAACUGAAGAACUUACUUGUCAUAGCUGCAGGUAUCCUCAUAAGACAAAUUACAAACUCAGUUUGUGGCAGAGAAUCUUAGAUAAUUUAAGUUAUUUUGCAUCCCAGUAGCCUAGUAAUUUUAAAUACUAGUGCUUUGUAUUUUCCUGUUACAUAUUUGGAAGUGGCACUCAAUUUGGCAGCUAUUGACACAUGAAAGCCUAAUACUGAGCAUAGUAGAUCAUAAACACUUCAUUUUACAGCUAUGUAAAUAGUAAUUUCAUACUGCUCCUGUACACCUGUAGCGAUGAUCAACUUUACAGGGAGUUAUAUGUGAGAUAACUCUGGGCAAUAACACACCUGUUUUGGUUUAGUCUUUGAAUUCAACAAGCUGAAAGUCAGCUCUGCAGGAAAGGACCUGGUGGUGCUGGUGGACACAAAGCUGAACAUGAGCCUACAGUGUGUCCUUUAGGCAAAGACAGCCUACAGCAUCCUGGGCUGGAUUAGAAAGUGCUUUGCAAGUUGAAGGAAGUGACCCUUCACCGGUACACAGCACUGUUGAGACACUUCUGCAGUGCGGUGUCCAGUUCUGGGCUCACCAGUACAAAUUCAAAUACAAGAACAACCGUGUAGACAAAAAAAUGUGACCAAACACUGGAACAGAUUGCCUACGGGAGUUUAUUCUCUACCCUUGGAAGCAGUCCAAAUCUGACUGGACGUGGUCCUGAGCACAUGAUCUAGUUGAUCUUGCUUUGAGCAGUGGAGUGGGACUACACAAUCUCCAUAUGUCCUUUCCAAUGUCAACUGUUUUGUGAUGCUGUAAUUUAUGUUUCUCUAUACUCCCCAUAUGUGAAUAGAGUCUCUUUAACAAGUUCACCUGUUUGAGUAUUGGGACUUAAACUGGAUAACAUAUUUUAAACAGAUGUUUCAUCUUCAUCAGUUCAACUUAGUCUUGAUUUAAAAUGAGAGAACUAUUUGGAUUCAGACAGCUAGUACAACAUUUCUUGGAAGAGUUUCAGCAGGUUGAACUACACUAGAAGAGUCUGACAAGGCAUGCCUUGCCUUGGUGCUGCCCUGUUGAACUGAUCAGUUAAAUUAAAACUCAGGAGAACAUGAGCCUGUAAAACAAUGUCAUUUAUUCCCAAGACAGCCUGGAAGAUAUAAUUCAAAAAACAGUAUAGCCUGAUAUUGGUAAAGGGCCGGACUCCUUAACGAAUUAGCAGAUCUUAAUAAGGCCCCAAGUGACAAAGCUCAGCCUAAACUAUAUCAGAAAGUUAUUUUACAGGCAUUUUGUGGAAACAGGCGUGCCAUAACUCCUACCAUUUCUACCUUGUUGAGUUCCUUGGGCAAUCAAGAAUGAGGACUCCAGCCCAAUGGGCAAAUUUCUGUUUAUUAUCUCCAGAAUAUUGUUGGCAGACACCUUUCUUUUACAUUUCAAUAAUUCUUCAAAGGGGAGGACCUCUGUGUACUGCUGAAAAUGUGUCUUUACUCUGUUUUUAUCACUUAUCCAAAUAAACGUUGAAUGGAUCCUAUAGUACUUUUUAAAAUAUAUUUCAGGAGAUAAUACAAUGAAUCCUGUUUUAUAGAUUUUUUUUCAUUCAGAAAAUGAAUACGUAAAUCAGAGGAGCCAGAUUAUGAAACCCAUGCAGUUUAAUAUCACAACAGUAGAAAAAAGCUGUUAAGAUGUCUGCUUGGACAAGCGUUUUGAUAUGGAAUAUUUUGCACUUUCACUGUGAUGCAGAUCCUGAUUCUUCCCUCUCCUUCCCAGUUUUGUCUUGUAAACUAACCUAGCAACAUAACUUAAGCUCAGAUGUGAUCAUGUCUAUUUCCACAAACUCGUCACUGGAAAGAACAUCAAAGCAUGAAACUGGAGAUUGCUGCCAGAAUGGUAUGACCCCUCUCAGUCAGCAGGUUUUGUGGACAUGCGUUGUUUUCUAAAAACAGGGAAAUACCACGAAUGUUGUUUCUACAUUUGUUCACUUCCCCAUAGUGGAGAGGUAGCUUUGUUUAAUACAGAAUCCGGUUUCAUUCACAGGCUCUCAGUAGGAAGUACUGAAAUAAAGCACAGGAGAUGAACCAUAGCAUACAUAUGCCUCCUUGCAGAUUUGGAAUGACAGCCUGGUAUGCUUCCUAAUGCAAAAUGCAGCUACUUAACAUUCUUUUAAAUAUCUCACAAUUACUGUGAUCCACAACAGGACACAGCCCCAGGUUACCAUUCAGGAAACUCCUGUCACAGGCAGCUGAAGAUUCUCAAGAACUUCAUUAGGAGAAGGCAUAAAUUAAAAAUAUGGGAAGAAAUAAGUACCAAGAGAGACACUGAUGUAGAAAGCCUUCCAAAAGAUGAUGAGAGAAAUCCAACAACAAAAAAACCAAGGAACUUCUGAUAUAGAUGCUGCCUACUUUUUUGAGUGAUGAAAGGAACUGCAGUACACUGAACUUCUUACAGUAAACACUAGAGAAAAGGAAAAAAAGACAAAUUUUGAGACCUGUGUCGAGAGUUAAGAUUACAGGGUGACAAUAAAACCUUGGCAGAUGUAUUGUUAACCUCCUCUCCCCCCACUUCCCCCUUUUUGCCCCUCCCUCUCCCCCCUUCCCACUCAG